rnacentral:rRNA from 1 species
UACGUAGGGGGCAAGCGUUGUCCGGAAUCAUUGGGCGUAAAGCGCGUGUAGGCGGCUCGGUAAGUCUGCUGUGAAAGUCCAGGGCUCAACCCUGGAAUGCCGGUGGAAACUGUCGGGCUAGAGUCCGGAAGAGGCGAGUGGAAUUCCUGGUGUAGCGGUGAAAUGCGCAGAUAUCAGGAGGAACACCAAUGGCGAAGGCAGCUCGCUGGGACGGUACUGACGCUGAGACGCGAAAGCGUGGGGAGCAAACGGG